CAUCUUGGUCCGUUGCCGACUUGGUUCCCCGCGGGCUUGAAGGCUCAGGAACUUCCGUUCUGCGCGGUUAAGAUCCUCCUCUGGAGGCGCGGUCCGGCGCGUUUGCCCACGCAACUCGCAGAAUCUGACCGCGGGGCCCACCCCUUCGUGGCCAUCUUAGAGCGAGGUAAACCCUCAUUACAGAACGAGGACAGAAGAAUGUCUGCAGGUUAAAAAAGAAUAACGAAAUCCUGUUAAAAACUAGUAAGAAUGUGCCCAAGACAUAUUGUAUAGAAGAACAAAAACUGCCUGCAGAAUACACCGUGUAAUCCCAUCUGUGUAACAAACUAAAAUAGAAUACCUGCAUGUGUGUGUAAAAGAUCUGGAGGGGCAUCUGGGUGGCUCAGUUAAG